rnacentral:rRNA from 1 species
GAUGAACGCUAGCUACAGGCUUAACACAUGCAAGUCGAGGGGAAACGAUAUUGGAAGCUUGCUUCCGAUAGGCGUCGACCGGCGCACGGGCGAGUAACGCGUAUCCAACCUGCCCACCACUUGGGGAUAACCUUGCGAAAGUAAGACUAAUACCCAAUGAUAUCUCUAGAAGACAUCUGAAGGAGAUUAAAGAUUCAUCGGUGAUGGAUGGGGAUGCGUCUGAUUAGCUUGUUGGCGGGGUAACGGCCCACCAAGGCGACGAUCAGUAGGGGUUCUGAGAGGAAGGUCCCCCACAUUGGAACUGAGACACGGUCCAAACUCUUACGGGAGGCAGCAGUGAGGAAUAUUGGUCAAUGGGUGAGAGCCUGAACCAGCCAAGCAGCGUGCAGGAUGACGGCCCUAUGGGUUGUAAACUGCUUUUAUAAGGGAAUAAAGUGAGUCUCGUGAGACUUUUUGCAUGUACCUUAUGAAUAAGGACCGGCUAAUUCCGUGCCAGCCGCCGCGGUAA